rnacentral:rRNA from 1 species
UAGAAUUCCCAUGUGUAGCGGUGAAAUGCGUAGAGAUGUGGAGGAAUACCGGUGGCGAAGGCGGCCUUCUGGACAAAUACUGACGCUGAGAUGCGAUAGCGUGGGGAGCAAACAGGAUUAGAUACCCUGGUAGUCCACGCUGUAAACGAUGUCGAUUUGGAGUUUGGUGGCAUGACUGCUGGGCUCCGAAGCUAACGCGUUAAAUCGACCGCCUGGGGAGUACGGCCGCAAGGUUAAAACUCAAAUGAAUUGACGGGGGCUCGCACAAGCGGUGGAGCAUGUGGUUUAAUUCGAUGCAACGCGAAGAACCUUACCUGGUCUUGACAUCCACAGAAUUUUGUAGGGAUACGAAAGUGCCUUAGGGAGCUGUGAGACAGGUGCUGCAUGGCUGUCGUCAGCUCGUGUUGUGAAAUGUUGGGUUAAGUCCCGCAACGAGCGCAACCCUUAUCCUUUGUUGCCAUCGGUUAGGCCGGGAACUCAAAGGAGACUGCCGUUGAUAAAGCGGAGGAAGGUGGGGACGACGUCAAGUCAUCAUGGCCCUUACGACCAGGGCUACACACGUGCUACAAUGGCGCAUACAAAGAGAAGCAAACCAGCGAUGGCAAGCGGACCUCAUAAAGUGCGUCUAAGUUCGGAUUGGAGUCUGCAACUCGACUCCAUGAAGUCGGAAUCGCUAGUAGUCGUGAAUCAGAAUGUCACGGUGAAUACGUUCCCGGGCCUUGUACACACCGCCCGU